CACCAAACCCCUAUUGGGUCUGCGAAGUUUAGUCACUUAAGUCUUCCUAGGGGACUACCUGUCAGUGCUACCACUGAUUCUAGAAUCACUCAGACAUAGACACUAAUACUGUAGUAUAUUUUACAACAUAAACAUAAAUAGUAACGUUACAAAUGGUCAAUAAAAGGCUAAGAAAUCAGGUCACACAGACUAGCAUUUACCUGCACCGUUCUUUGUUUCAUGGACACUCAAAAAUUACACUAAUGCCAUGUUUUAUAAAUGGUAUGGCUUACCUUUUAUAUGACCGGUCUGUUUGAGUGCCCACGAAAUGGUUGGCAGGUGCAGGUGUUCCGCUGGUGUCUGUGGUAUUCUGAUCCCGGACGAGCCCCCAACUGUGGAAGUAGACAAAAAUAUUACCAGGUUCAAUAAAAAGCGUUUAAUUGACCAUUACAAUACACAGAGAUAUCUCAUGGAGAUUGGCAAGAAGCAAUCUAACAUCAUGUUACAAUUCCUCAUAUUUUAUACAUAUGACCCGGAACUGGCCUUGCGUUUAGCUUGAGUCAGAACUCCAAAUAUGGUCUUAUUUCCUAUUGGCUAAAUUCUAGCAUAACUGACAAAUUUAAGGUUCAAAAGUUUAAGCAUCCCAUGAUCUUUCUAACAGAUAACUUGACCCCAGUCAUGCAUCUUACUUCCCUAAAAUAUCGUUUGUCUAUGAUAAAAGUUAACACAUAUAAGCCUGACUUCCUCUUUCACAACUUAAGCACACAUUUCACCUUUCCCCCCCCUGGCAACAUCUGACAAGACACGCUUUCAAAAUAACCUUUCCUUUUGCAAUCCAAAAAACAGUCCAGACAUCCAUUUAUAAAUUGUAGCAAUAAAACAUAGUUUCUUCUUAUUUCUUAGAGUAAAUUUUCUUCUUUGAUUAUAUUUUAAGAUGAUGAAUAAACAGCAAAAUGGCUGACAGCAUGUCAGUAGCAGGUUUCAUAUGUUCACA